rnacentral:rRNA from 1 species
AGAGUUUGAUGGUGGCUCAGGAUGAACGCUGGCGGCGUGCCUAACACAUGCAAGUCGAACGGACUUUUCAUGAAGCCUAGCGAUUGAAAAGUUAGUGGCGGACGGGUGAGUAACGCGUGGGUAACCUGCCUUGUACUGGGGGACAACAGUUGGAAACGACUGCUAAUACCGCAUAAGCGCACAGCUUCGCAUGAAGCAGUGUGAAAAACUCCGGUGGUACAAGAUGGACCCGCGUCUGAUUAGCUGGUUGGUGAGGUAACGGCCCACCAAGGCGACGAUCAGUAGCCGGCCUGAGAGGGUGAACGGCCACAUUGGGACUGAGACACGGCCCAAACUCCUACGGGAGGCAGCAGUGGGGAAUAUUGCACAAUGGGGGAAACCCUGAUGCAGCAACGCCGCGUGAGUGAAGAAGUAUUUCGGUAUGUAAAGCUCUAUCAGCAGGAAAGAAAAUGACGGUACCUGACUAAGAAGCCCCGGCUAACUACGUGCCAGCAGCCGCGGUAAUACGUAGGGGGCAAGCGUUAUCCGGAUUUACUGGGUGUAAAGGGAGCGUAGACGGUUUUGCAAGUCUGAAGUGAAGCCCGGGGCUUAACCCCGGGACUGCUUUGGAAACUGUAGGACUAGAGUGCAGGAGAGGUAAGUGGAAUUCCUAGUGUAGCGGUGAAAUGCGUAGAUAUUAGGAGGAACACCAGUGGCGAAGGCGGCUUACUGGACUGUAACUGACGUUGAGGCUCGAAAGCGUGGGGAGCAAACAGGAUUAGAUACCCUGGUAGUCCACGCCGUAAACGAUGAUUACUAGGUGUUGGUGGGUAUGACCCAUCGGUGCCGCAGCAAACGCAAUAAGUAAUCCACCUGGGGAGUACGUUGCA